GUGCCAGCAGCCGCGGUAAUACAGAGGGUGCAAGCGUUAAUCGGAUUUACUGGGCGUAAAGCGCGCGUAGGUGGCCAAUUAAGUCAAAUGUGAAAUCCCCGAGCUUAACUUGGGAAUUGCAUUCGAUACUGGUUGGCUANAGUAUGGGAGAGGAUGGUAGAAUUCCAGGUGUACCGGUGAAAUGCGUAGAGAUCUGGAGGAAUACGAUGGCGACAGCAGCCAUCUGGCCUAAUACUGACACUGAGGUGCGAAAGCAUGGGGAGCANACAGGAUUAGAUACCCUGGUAGUCC
rnacentral:rRNA from 1 species